GGGUUGUGAGGUUAAGCGACUAAGCGUACACGGUGGAUGCCCUGGCAGUCAGAGGCGAUGAAGGACGUGCUAAUCUGCGAUAAGCGUCGGUGAGGUGAUAUGAACCGUUAUAACCGGCGAUUUCCGAAUGGGGAAACCCAGUGUGUUUCGACACACUAUCAUUAACUGAAUCCAUAGGUUAAUGAGGCGAACCGGGGGAACUGAAACAUCUAAGUACCCCGAGGAAAAGAAAUCAACCGAGAUUCCCCCAGUAGCGGCGAGCGAACGGGGAGGAGCCCAGAGCCUGAAUCAGUGUGUGUGUUAGUGGAAGCGUCUGGAAAGGCGCGCGAUACAGGGUGACAGCCCCGUACACAAAAAUGCACAUAUUGUGAGCUCGAUGAGUAGGGCGGGACACGUGGUAUCCUGUCUGAAUAUGGGGGGACCAUCCUCCAAGGCUAAAUACUCCUGACUGACCGAUAGUGAACCAGUACCGUGAGGGAAAGGCGAAAAGAACCCCGGCGAGGGGAGUGAAAAAGAACCUGAAACCGUGUACGUACAAGCAGUGGGAGCCUCUUAAUGGGGUGACUGCGUACCUUUUGUAUAAUGGGUCAGCGACUUAUAUUCUGUAGCAAGGUUAACCGAAUAGGGGAGCCGAAGGGAAACCGAGUCUUAACUGGGCGUUAAGUUGCAGGGUAUAGACCCGAAACCCGGUGAUCUAGCCAUGGGCAGGUUGAAGGUUGGGUAACACUAACUGGAGGACCGAACCGACUAAUGUUGAAAAAUUAGCGGAUGACUUGUGGCUGGGGGUGAAAGGCCAAUCAAACCGGGAGAUAGCUGGUUCUCCCCGAAAGCUAUUUAGGUAGCGCCUCGUGAAUUCAUCUCCGGGGGUAGAGCACUGUUUCGGCAAGGGGGUCAUCCCGACUUACCAACCCGAUGCAAACUGCGAAUACCGGAGAAUGUUAUCACGGGAGACACACGGCGGGUGCUAACGUCCGUCGUGAAGAGGGAAACAACCCAGACCGCCAGCUAAGGUCCCAAAGUCAUGGUUAAGUGGGAAACGAUGUGGGAAGGCCCAGACAGCCAGGAUGUUGGCUUAGAAGCAGCCAUCAUUUAAAGAAAGCGUAAUAGCUCACUGGUCGAGUCGGCCUGCGCGGAAGAUGUAACGGGGCUAAACCAUGCACCGAAGCUGCGGCAGCGACACUAUGUGUUGUUGGGUAGGGGAGCGUUCUGUAAGCCUGUGAAGGUGUACNNNNNNNNNNNNNNNNNNNNNNNNNNNNNNNNNNNNNNNNNNNNNNNNNNNNNNNNNNNNNNNNNNNNNNNNNNNNNNNNNNNNNNNNNNNNNNNNAUGCUGGAGGUAUCAGAAGUGCGAAUGCUGACAUAAGUAACGAUAAAGCGGGUGAAAAGCCCGCUCGCCGGAAGACCAAGGGUUCCUGUCCAACGUUAAUCGGGGCAGGGUGAGUCGACCCCUAAGGCGAGGCCGAAAGGCGUAGUCGAUGGGAAACAGGUUAAUAUUCCUGUACUUGGUGUUACUGCGAAGGGGGGACGGAGAAGGCUAUGUUGGCCGGGCGACGGUUGUCCCGGUUUAAGCGUGUAGGCUGGUUUUCCAGGCAAAUCCGGAAAAUCAAGGCUGAGGCGUGAUGACGAGGCACUACGGUGCUGAAGCGACAAAUGCCCUGCUUCCAGGAAAAGCCUCUAAGCAUCAGGUAACAUCAAAUCGUACCCCAAACCGACACAGGUGGUCAGGUAGAGAAUACCAAGGCGCUUGAGAGAACUCGGGUGAAGGAACUAGGCAAAAUGGUGCCGUAACUUCGGGAGAAGGCACGCUGAUAUGUAGGUGAAGCGACUUGCUCGUGGAGCUGAAAUCAGUCGAAGAUACCAGCUGGCUGCAACUGUUUAUUAAAAACACAGCACUGUGCAAACACGAAAGUGGACGUAUACGGUGUGACGCCUGCCCGGUGCCGGAAGGUUAAUUGAUGGGGUUAGCGGUAACGCGAAGCUCUUGAUCGAAGCCCCGGUAAACGGCGGCCGUAACUAUAACGGUCCUAAGGUAGCGAAAUUCCUUGUCGGGUAAGUUCCGACCUGCACGAAUGGCGUAAUGAUGGCCAGGCUGUCUCCACCCGAGACUCAGUGAAAUUGAACUCGCUGUGAAGAUGCAGUGUACCCGCGGCAAGACGGAAAGACCCCGUGAACCUUUACUAUAGCUUGACACUGAACAUUGAGCCUUGAUGUGUAGGAUAGGUGGGAGGCUUUGAAGUGUGGACGCCAGUCUGCAUGGAGCCGACCUUGAAAUACCACCCUUUAAUGUUUGAUGUUCUAACGUGGGCCCCUUACCGGGGUUGCGGACAGUGUCUGGUGGGUAGUUUGACUGGGGCGGUCUCCUCCUAAAGAGUAACGGAGGAGCACGAAGGUUGGCUAAUCCUGGUCGGACAUCAGGAGGUUAGUGCAAUGGCAUAAGCCAGCUUGACUGCGAGCGUGACGGCGCGAGCAGGUGCGAAAGCAGGUCAUAGUGAUCCGGUGGUUCUGAAUGGAAGGGCCAUCGCUCAACGGAUAAAAGGUACUCCGGGGAUAACAGGCUGAUACCGCCCAAGAGUUCAUAUCGACGGCGGUGUUUGGCACCUCGAUGUCGGCUCAUCACAUCCUGGGGCUGAAGUAGGUCCCAAGGGUAUGGCUGUUCGCCAUUUAAAGUGGUACGCGAGCUGGGUUUAGAACGUCGUGAGACAGUUCGGUCCCUAUCUGCCGUGGGCGCUGGAGAACUGAGGGGGGCUGCUCCUAGUACGAGAGGACCGGAGUGGACGCAUCACUGGUGUUCGGGUUGUCAUGCCAAUGGCACUGCCCGGUAGCUAAAUGCGGAAGAGAUAAGUGCUGAAAGCAUCUAAGCACGAAACUUGCCCCGAGAUGAGUUCUCCCUGACUCCUUGAGAGUCCUGAAGGAACGUUGAAGACGACGACGUUGAUAGGCCGGGUGUGUAAGCGCAGCGAUGCGUUGAGCUAACCGGUACUAAUGAACCGUGAGGCUUAACCUUACAACGCCGAAG
rnacentral:rRNA from 1 species